rnacentral:rRNA from 1 species
AGUGAACGCUGGCGGUAGGCCUAACACAUGCAAGUCGAACGGCAGCACAGUAAGAGCUUGCUCUUACGGGUGGCGAGUGGCGGACGGGUGAGGAAUACAUCGGAAUCUACUUUUUCGUGGGGGAUAACGUAGGGAAACUUACGCUAAUACCGCAUACGACCUACGGGUGAAAGCAGGGGAUCUUCGGACCUUGCGCGAUUGAAUGAGCCGAUGUCGGAUUAGCUAGUUGGCGGGGUAAAGGCCCACCAAGGCGACGAUCCGUAGCUGGUCUGAGAGGAUGAUCAGCGACACUGGAACUGAGACACGGUCCAGACUCCUACGGGAGGCAGCAGUGGGGAAUAUUGGACAAUGGGCGCAAGCCUGAUCCAGCCAUACCGCGUGGGUGAAGAAGGACUUCGGGUUGUAAAGCACUUUUGUUGGGAAAGAAAAGCAGCAGGUUAAUACCCCGCUGUUCUGACGGUACCCAAAGAAUAAGCACCGGCUAACUUCGUG